GGAGAGAUGGCUGAGUGGCCGAAAGCGCCGGUUUGCUAAACCGGUGUACCGGGUAAACCGGUACCACGGGUUCGAAUCCCGUUCUCUCCG
rnacentral:tRNA from 1 species